rnacentral:rRNA from 1 species
CUAGUCCUACGGGAGGCAGCAGUAGGGAAUUUUCGUCAAUGGGCGCAAGCCUGAACGAGCAAUGCCGCGUGAACGAGGAAGGUCUUCGGAUCGUAAAGUUCUGUUGAAGGGGAAAAAGAGCGGAGAGAGGAAAUGAACUCCGAUUGAUAUUACCCUUCGAGGAAGUCACGGCUAACUACGUGCCAGCAGCCGCGGUAAUACGUAGGUGGCGAGCGUUAUCCGGAAUGAUUGGGCGUAAAGGGUGCGUAGGCGGCCUGUUAAGUCAGCGGUAAAAGCCCGGGGCUCAACCCCGGCGAGCCGUUGAA